AUUGAACGCUGGCGGCAGGCCUAACACAUGCAAGUCGAACGGUAACAGGAAGAAGCUUGCUUCUUUGCUGACGAGUGGCGGACGGGUGAGUAAUGUCUGGGAAACUGCCUGAUGGAGGGGGAUAACUACUGGAAACGGUAGCUAAUACCGCAUACCGUCGCAAGACCAAAGAGGGGGACCUUCGGGCCUCUAGCCAUCGGAUGUGCCCAGAUGGGAUUAGCUAGUAGGUGGGGUAACGGCUCACCUAGGCGACGAUCCCUAGCGGGUCUGAGAGGAUGACCAGCCACACUGGAACUGAGACACGGUCCAGACUCCUCAGAGAGGCAGCAGUGGGGAUUAUUGCACAUUGGGCGCAAGCCUGAUGCAGCCAUGCCGCGUGUAUGAAGAAGACCUUCGGGUUGGAAAGUACUUUCAGCGGGGAGGAAGGGAGUAAAGUUAAUACCUUUGCUCAUUGACGUUACCCGCAGAAGAAGCACCGGCUAACUCCGUG
rnacentral:rRNA from 1 species